rnacentral:lncRNA from 1 species
UAGGAUUAAUGACAAGCGCCAUGAUAGCAUAAUCCGUAGGAAAAGGUUUAGGUGAAGUCCAAACCAAGAUAGCUCAAUGAAGAAAUCAUGGGUUGAAAUAUCUCAUGAUCAAAGAAUCGGUGGAUUUAAUUAUCUCAUUCUUGAAAGGAAAUCUCUUCGAGGCUCCUACACUAACAAGAAGGCUAUAAUACCACCUCAAAGGAUAAAGGAAGAACAAUUGCACAUAUAAA